ensembl:lncRNA
CUGUGAGCAGCCUGGUGUGGAGGGGGUUGGAACUACAUCACCUUAAAGGUCCCUUCUGACCCAAACCAUUCUAUGGUUCUUUGGUUUUAUGAUUCCAUGACCUUGAGUUUUCUUGCCAAGUUGGCAACGUCACCAAAGCAUCCUCAUUGAUGUCCUCAAGGCCUGCCUGCUCUGGGAUAUCUCAGAAUCACAGAACUAUUACGCUUGGAACAGACCUCUAAGAUCAUCUAGUCUGACCAUAAACUCAUCAUCAGAGAUUUGCAUGGCUUAUCCAUCUGGACUCCAAGCUUUCAGCUGUAACCUCCUUGUGAUUCGUGGCAAUAAAACAAGGUAAUACAGUGGAAAAAGUACACAUCUAUAUACUUUUUUGUGUUACCUGAUUUCUUUGGGACUAUUAGGUAACAGCCUGCUAGCUGCUAGUACAGCCUCUGGACCAAGGUUUUUUAUUUUUGCAGAUUCUUUCACUGAGAGCAACGUGUUGCAGGAAGGCAGAGCUGUACCCCCACCCACGUACAUUGUCCCAGGCUUCUCAGGGCUUUUUCCAUAUAGUCCCCUAGGGAACAUCCCCCAAACAGAUGGCAGAGCCACUUGGGUCCAUGCAGCGCCCAUAUUGCUUACACUGAUGAGAAGCAAAUCCCAUUCGUCCUAGCUCAACCACAC